rnacentral:rRNA from 1 species
UACGUAGGGUGCAAGCGUUAAUCGGAAUUAUUGGGCGUACAGGGCGCGUAGGCGGGCCCAUAAGUCGAAUGUGAAAUCCCGGAGCUCAACUCCGGAACAGCAUUUGAAACUGUAGAUCUAGAGGGUAGGCGGAGAAAACAGAAUUCCACAAGUAGCGGUGAAAUGCGUAGAUAUGUGGAAGAAUACCGGUGGCGAAGGCGGUUUUCUAGCUUAUUCCUGACGCUGAGGCGCGAAAGCAAGGGGAUCAAACAGG